UAGGGAAUCUUCCACAAUGGACGGAAGUCUGAUGGAGCAACGCCGUGUGAGUGAAGAAGGUUUUCGGAUCGUAAAGCUCUGUUGUUGGUGAAGAAGGAUAGAGGCAGUAACUGGUCUUUAUUUGACGGUAAUCAACCAGAAAGUCACGGCUAACUACGUGCCAC
rnacentral:rRNA from 1 species